UCUACGGGAGGCUGCAGUGGGGAAUCUUGCGCAAUGGGCGAAAGCCUGACGCAGCCAUGCCGCGUGAAUGAUGAAGGUCUUAGGAUUGUAAAAUUCUUUCACCGGGGACGAUAAUGACGGUACCCGGAGAAGAAGCCCCGGCUAACUUCGUGCCAGCAGCCGCGGUAAUACGAAGGGGGCUAGCGUUGCUCGGAAUUACUGGGCGUAAAGGGAGCGUAGGCGGACAUUUAAGUCAGGGGUGAAAUCCCGGGGCUCAACCUCGGAAUUGCCUUUGAUACUGGGUGUCUUGAGUAUGAGAGAGGUGUGUGGAACUCCGAGUGUAGAGGUGAAAUUCGUAGAUAUUCGGAAGAACACCAGUGGCGAAGGCGACACACUGGCUCAUUACUGAC
rnacentral:rRNA from 1 species